CAGGUGCCUUUGGCGUUGUUGUUGAUGCUAAAAUUCUUCUUUAGCAUCCUAUCUAAACGUGCUUUAUCUAAACGUGCUUGGUCAGACUAUUGGCGUCACUUUUGACGCAGUUAGGUUAAGGAAAAGGUCGUGGGUGGGCUUAUGUUUCCAUGACACACGGGACAAGAACGGGACAGUUGGGUUUAGGAAAAGAAGAACGGAUGGUUGGGUUUAGGAAAUGUGACACGCGGGACAUGGUGGGGGGGGGGGGAGCAAAAAACUAAAUGUUUGUUGCCAAAUGUCUGUAAGCAAUUGCUGUUCUUUUUUGCAAAUAAAAAGAU